CGACCGAAAUUAUCAUCUCAUGAUAUUCUGAGAAUGAUUCCUUAUUACUUAUAUUUAUAUAAUUUUAAGCUAUCGUACGAUUACAUAUUUAAAUAUUAAUAAGCAAACCCCGCUGGUGCCUCGAUUUGGCGUCAUUUGUAUUAUGAGUUAUAUAGACGUACAAAAUCGAUUCGUAGUGUUAUUACAGGCAAAGACACUGGAAAAUAUAAAUAUAUGGAGAUAUAUACGAGUCCUUUAUUAGUUAUUUGUUGGUAAUGUUGGUACAUGUACGCGAGUAUGAAGUCUUAUUGAGGUUUUUUCCCCAAAUAGGCUGAAAUAUUUUAAUAUAUGAUGUACUUAUGCAUUAAAACAUUUUAAUGAAUUUGUAAUAUGUAUGAAGAACUGUUGAUGCAUGACUUAAUCUAUCUGUGAUAACCAUUUCUACAUGCUAUGUUACCUUGCAAGUCAUUUUGUGGUAAGCUGUUUUUUGUGAUCAACAAUUUGUUUACUGUGUUACUAUGUGUUUAUGAUGUAUUUAUAUGAAUUUGUUAAUCUUGUUUUGAAUAAUUAAAAUUAAGAAUAUAUAUUACAAUAUAUUAUAUUUUAUUUAAUAAAAAAUACAUUGCCUACAGG
rnacentral:misc_RNA from 1 species